rnacentral:rRNA from 1 species
CCUACGGGAGGCUGCAGUGGGGAAUAUUGCACAAUGGGCGCAAGCCUGAUGCAGCCAUGCCGCGUGUGUGAAGAAGGCCUUCGGGUUGUAAAGCACUUUCAGCGGGGAGGAAGGCGGUGAGGUUAAUAACCUCAUCGAUUGACGUUACCCGCAGAAGAAGCACCGGCUAACUCCGUGCCAGCAGCCGCGGUAAUACGGAGGGUGCAAGCGUUAAUCGGAAUUACUGGGCGUAAAGCGCACGCAGGCGGUCUGUCAAGUCGGAUGUGGAAUCCCCGGGCUCAACCUGGGAACUGCAUUCGAAACUGGCAGGCUAGAGUCUUGUAGAGGGGGGUAGAAUUCCAGGUGUAGCGGUGAAAUGCGUGGAGAUCUGGAGGAAUACCGGUGGCGAAGGCGGCCCCCUGGACAAAGACUGACGCUCAGGUGCGAAAGCGUGGGGAGCAAACAGGAUUAGAUACCCGGGUAGUC